rnacentral:rRNA from 1 species
GUCUCAGGCCGUAUCAGCCUGAAGGCGCCCGAUCUCGUCUGAUCUCGGAAGCUAAGCAGGGUCGGGCCUGGUUAGGAUUUUGGAUGGGAGACCACCUGGGAAUCCCGGGUGCUCGAGGCU